AUUGCAUCAAGGAUGAUUCAGCUGCCAUAACUUCAGCAUGAAAUCUCAUGAGGUUGGGAAGAAAGCAUGGCUGAUCUCCUUGGAUAUCUCUAAAAGUGUCACUUUUUAAAGCCUAGGGGGAAAAAAAGCUGCAGCGAGCAGCAGAUGUGUGAAUAUCCCUUGGCAGGAAUAGCUGACAGCUGGCCAUCCCCAUGGCCCUGCUCAUGCUGCUCUCCCCAGCUCCUUUAAGGGCACAUUUCUCCCUUUCAGAGAGAACUUCCCUUAUGAGAGCACUGCAGGAUGCAAUAUCACAUAGGAGGACCCAAGUCACAGGUGAUGUGCUCUGGAAGCUGCUGGUAUUCAGGUCUAAGCAGAGAAAUGGGGUGAGAUGGAUUCAGAGCACACACCUGAGCUCCCUGGGGCAGCAGUGUGCUCUGGUGGCCCCUGGGCUCCUGCAGGUCUGCCUGUCCCAUUGCACCAGAUGUGAUGUGAGAUAUCUCUGGGCAACCUGCUACCCAUUAACACCAGGGAGGGCAGAGCAUCUUGAACUCAAAUUCCUGAACCACACAGCUUUGAUGCACAAUAUGGGCUCAGUUUAUGUUUAUUCCAAAGGGUGGAAAAGGACUGGGCUACCUGCUGCUUUCCCAGCUUCCUCCCUGUGGAGCAGCAACAAGCAGGCAGCAGAGCCCAGGGGCUCCUGCGGUUUGAGCGCUCCUCCUCCUGUGCAAUGGCCCAUGCCUUGUGACCUACAUUUGCCAAAGGGAAUGGGUGAUAUUUGCUGGCCUGAUUCCUUCAUUUUUAAGGCAUGGUUGAGCUCAGAGCCCUGGGAGUCAACUUCUCCACUAUGCCUUAAACAGGACACAAAAAGGAAGUGGGGAAUUGCUUCAAGUAGUGAUGGUCACCACCAACACUGUACCUCUAACCCAGGCUGAAACUGCAACAGGAGCAAACCCCCCAGGGCAGUGUGCUGUAGCAUUGUGCUUAGACCCUGAAACAGACCAGAAUGAAGGAGCAAGUGAAAGCAUGUUUUUAAGCUCAAAACUGCUUGUUUACUCUGAAAUAGAAGCCCAAAGUGAGCUCUGCCUUUGCAGCUCACCUCUGUGCACCCCAGUGCAGAGUCCUGCCCAGCCCUGUUGCUCUCUGAGGAUCACAGGGCAAACCAAACCCCAGCAUGGGACGAGGCGCCCAUCUGACCUGGGUCAGCCCCUGGCUAGCAGGAUAUGAGGGAGACAGCCUCCUCAAGUCCCCAUCACAGCAGCUCCACGCAGCCUUGGGCUCUUUUGGUGAAAGCAGUUGGCACCCAAAGUGGUUUCUCUUGCAGGCAGCUCUGCAACAGGCUGUAAUUGUAUUUUGUCAAGUGGUUUCAGAAAAGCUAUCCACGUUUAUUAGCCAUGUGGAUUAGAGAAAUGAUGUUCUUGAUUCUAACUGCUGGCUUAGCCUUGCCUUCAUCAAAGAACAGAAUAACUUUACGCAUUCUUCUCUUCCCACGUCAUGAAGAAUUUUCUCCUGCGCGCUUUAUUUACCUCUGCUGGCAGUACAUGUGGCUCUCAGACAAACCCGUGUUGAGCCCGGAACACCCGCCUGGCUCCAGGUCACAGCCUCAGGUACAACUGUCCCCAAUGCUGCUGUUGUCCUGCAGCUUUCCAGAAGGGCAAAGGAGCUGUGACAGAGAAUUCUGUGAAAUCACCUCAAGCUAAUUAUGAAAGCUCAUUAGAGAAAGGAAGGAGGUCUGUCUGUCACAUGCCAUCUCUCUUUGUCACCCUCCCACUGCCUUUUAGUCUUGAUCUAGAUGCAGGAUGUUCCUCUUUGCUUUGAUUAUAGCCAACUACUUCAUUAUUCAUUCUGCCAGCCCAUCCAGCAGGGACCUGUAGGGACAAAGCUCUUCAGACCACAUGCAGACAGCAUCGUUCAUGAUUUAGUCGGAGAUUCUUUGUCAUUAUUACCACACAGGAACAGGGGGGCCCUCGCUGCUCUGAUUUGCAUCUGCUGGCUGUGCCUGUCCCCAGUGAUGCUGAUGGGUGACAUCAGUCACCUGUGGAGACCCACAAAGGCAUUGGUCGCUGUUAUUGCUGCUGGUGUGCAACUGCUGGCUGAGGCAGGCUGCUCCUUUCUCCAGCACCCCCUUCCUCCUGGUCUCACGGGGUCUGCCUUUAAUUCAGCUCCUGCCUUCAUUAACUGGAGACUGGGGUAUUGAUUCAGCAGCCACUAAGACGAAGGAGCUGAGCUCAGGUCGUUGUUAUUUAUGGAGAUGUAUGUCACUGCAGAACUUCCAAAAAUGAGGAUGUGCAUGAGCUCAUUGGGACAAAUGUUUCCUUGGGAGAGAAGGAAAACUACCCCUGCCACACCUGGAUCCCAUCCCUGCAGCUCCCAACUCCACCUCCCUCCUCCCACCUGAGUUCCCAUGUAGUGCUGCAGCAGUCACAGAGCAUCACAGGUUGGGUGAGGGGGAGGGGAAAUGCCCUUCUUUCUGACACCCUGUGUGGUACAGAGGAUGAUGCUCAGCUUUCUCCACCCACCUCCACCCGCAGAGGCUGUGGCACAGCUGGAAGCUGCUGGAUGAUGGCUCCUGUGCCACAACUGCCCUCUGUGCCCAUCUCUCCUGCUGGGUUUGCAACUCACUGUAACUCUUCCCAUCAUUUCAGUUACGCAGCUCAAAGUAUUGGGUCCAGGCUGCUACAAGAAACCAGUGCAGAAGAGGUGUGGGAAGGGAAAUUUGACAAUGAGCAAAUUCUGCCAAAAAUAAUAAAAACAAAAAACUCAGGCAUACUCAAGGGCUGAAUCUAAUGGAGAUACUGCUACCAGUAACAUUACCCUUGAUCAGAUGUGCCUUAUGAUCCAUCUAAACCAGCUUCUGAUGGACCACACUUCCAGAGACAGCAACCAGAGUGCAGAAUGCCAACGUGCCCAGGGUGCCCUGCAGCCACCUGGGAGCUGAGUGUCCCUUGGAGCUGCCCCACCAUCAGACAGGAGGUGUUCCCUUCAGGUGCUGAAAGGUUUUGGGAGUCAACUGAAUCGUCUUUCCACUAAUUAAGCUCUGAAAACAUAGGCUAGACAAUUUGUUCUAGCUUUCCUAGGGAAAGCUAAAAGGUUUCUCAUAUAUCUUCUAUUUGGAGGAAAAUAAGACAAGACUAUUAGGGCUGGCUGCAACACAGAAUUCCCAUU